UUAACCUUUAUAUAUAAGAAAUAAUUUGAGCCGUCCCAUUACGACUAAAAUUCUAAUUAGAGUUUAUUUUCGACCCACAUACUUUAACCUACCACAUAAAAUUAAUUACAACACGUUAGGUGUAAAAUGCUCAAUUGAUCACUUAAUAAAUUUGGCCCAAACACAAAUAUUAUUAUGAGCCAUACAACUAACCUUUAAAAUCUGCAAUCCAAUCUGAAGCGCAUAUGAAAUAAUUAAUUAUUCCAACAAGAAAACCAUAGAUCACUCGUCUCAAGAUUCUUAGAUCUUCAAACUUGACAGGUUGAAGGAGAGAUCUGCUUGAAGCACAACCAUCUCUUCGCCUAAAGCACAAUUGCCUUCGUCCUUCUUAGCCAUUGCUUUCCUAUCGAAGGUUGCCCUCUUUCUUCUCUGUUGUCGCUUGCCAAUAGUGGGAGAGAUUCGUCUCAAGCACGUUCUUUUGCCCUAAAGCUUCAUCCAGUGCUUUUGUCCUCCUACACCGUGUUUUUACCGUAAAAAACCAAUUAUAUCAAGAAAGUUUAGCUGUAAAUUUAUCAUGUUCGUUUUGUAAUUUUAUAUCAUCGACUUUUAGACCUUAUCAUUGUUAUUUUAUGAUGGUAUUAACUGUGAUUUAGGUAUUUCAUGAAUUAAAUUUUUGA
rnacentral:lncRNA from 1 species